UCCAGACUCCUACGGGAGGCAGCAGUGAGGAAUAUUGGUCAAUGGCCGCAGGGCUGAACCAGCCAAGUCGCGUGAGGGAUGACGGUCCUAUGGAUUGUAAACCUCUUUUGUCAGGGAGCAAAGGGCGCCACGUGUGGCGUUUUGCGAGUACCUGAAGAAAAAGCAUCGGCUAACUCCGUGCCAGCAGCCGCGGUAAUACGGAGGAUCCGAGCGUUAUCCGGAUUUAUUGGGUUUAAAGGGAGCGUAGAUGGGUUGUUAAGUCAGUUGUGAAAGUUUGCGGCUCAACCGUAAAAUUGCAAUUGAUACUGGCAGUCUUGAGUACAGUUGAGGUAGGCGGAAUUCGUGGUGUAGCGGUGAAAUGCUUAGAUAUUGCGCAGAACUCCGAUUGCGAAGGCAGCAUACCGGCGGCGAUCUGACGCUGAGGCACGAAAGCGUGGGUAUCGAACAGGAUUAGAUACCCCAGUAAA
rnacentral:rRNA from 1 species